rnacentral:rRNA from 1 species
UACGGAGGGUGCAAGCGUUAUCCGGAUUCACUGGGUUUAAAGGGUGCGUAGGUGGGUCUGUAAGUCCGUGGUGAAAUCUCCGAGCUUAACUUGGUAACUGCCAUGGAUACUAUAGGUCUUGAAUAUUGUGGAGGUCAGCGGAAUAUGUCAUGUAGCGGUGAAAUGCUUAGAUAUGACAUAGAACACCAAUUGCGAAGGCAGCUGGCUACGCAUAUAUUGACACUGAGGCACGAAAGCGUGGGGAUCAAACAGG